CAGGCCCCGGAUUCCCAGGUGUUUCUAUUCAGUGAUCAGCACUGAACACAGAGGACUCACCAUGGAGUUUGGGCUGAGCUGGGUUUUCCUUGUUGCUAUUUUAAAAGGUGUCCAGUGUGAGGUGCAGCUGGUGGAGUCUGGGGGAGGCUUGGCAAAGCCUGGGGGGUCCCUGAGACUCUCCUGUGCGGCCUCUGGAUUCACCUUCAGUGACUACUACAUGAGCUGGGUCCGCCAGGCUCCGGGGAAGGGGCUGGAGUGGGUCUCAUACAUUAGAUAUGAUGGUGGUAGCACAAGCUACGCCGAGUCUGUGAAAGACCGAUUCACCAUCUCCAGAGAUGAUUCAGAGAACUCGCUGUAUCUGCAAAUGAGCAGCCUGAAACCCGAGGACACGGCCGUGUAUUACUGUACUAGAGACACAGUGAGGGGAGGCCCGUGUGGGCCCGGACACAAACCUCCUGCAGGGGCGCGCGGGGCCGCCAGGGGGCGCUCGGGACCCACCGAGGACGGGGCAGGCCCCAGGAGCAGGUGCAGGGGGAGGGUUCUCUUUCUCAGACGCAAGAAGCGGAUUUCUUUUUGCCGAUCUGAUUGGAUUGUCCCUAGUAACUCACCCAUGCUCUUGUCUCUUCAAUGGGCAGAAUCAGAAAAAUCAUGUGUACCCACAGGACCUGGAGCCUCUCUCUCCUUGGGUCUACGUCAUCCAGAAUACCCUGCAUGAUGGGCUGACACAAAGAAAUCCAACCCCACAGAGGCUCCAUAACAACCCUUACAGUUCUUUCAGGGAAGAAAUAAUCUCCAAGUGA